rnacentral:rRNA from 1 species
UACGGAGGGUCCAAGCGUUAUCCGGAAUCAUUGGGUUUAAAGGGUCCGUAGGCGGUUUUGUAAGUCAGUGGUGAAAGCCCAUCGCUCAACGGUGGAACGGCCAUUGAUACUGCAAGACUUGAAUUAUUGGGAAGCAACUAGAAUAUGUAGUGUAGCGGUGAAAUGCUUAGAGAUUACAUGGAAUACCAAUUGCGAAGGCAGGUUGCUACCAAUACAUUGACGCUGAUGGGACG